rnacentral:rRNA from 1 species
UCGGGAAUAUUGCGCAAUGGAGGAAACUCUGACGCAGUGACGCCGCGUGCAGGAAGAAGGUUUUCGGAUUGUAAACUGCUUUAGAUAGGGAAGAAAAAAAUGACAGUACCUAUAGAAUAAGCUCCGGCUAACUACGUGCCAGCAGCCGCGGUAAUACGUAGGGAGCGAGCGUUAUCCGGAUUUAUUGGGUGUAAAGGGUGCGUAGAUGGAUAAACAAGUUGGUUGUGAAAUCCCUCGGCUUAACUGAGGAAUUGCAACCAAAACUGUAGAUCUUGAGUACUGGAGGGGAAAGCGGAAUUCCUA